UUUUGUGUUUGAAUAAUGAUUAGAUGAAACAAUUGAAAAUUUGAAAUUGAAAUUUUUUUUGUGUUUGAGUGAUGUUUGGGAAUAAAAUUAUGAGAAGUUUUGAGAAUUCGCAGUGUCCAAACAUGCAUGAAGUAUACUUGUGUCAUC